GGCAACAAAGAACAAAGGCGUUGAAAUGUAAUGCUUACCGGGCGCAAAGGAAGACCCACAGGACUAAGGGCCACAUUCCCCUUCGGUGCAUUAAGGUCUGAUGGAUGAUGAUAUCUACAUGAUGGACCAAAUUUACAUUCCCCUGUUUUCAUGUAAUACUGACAUUCUGGUUGAUCAGGCCUUUCAGGAUAUGGGUUCUCCUUCUGAGUACUACUACCUGAAGGAUCAACAGAGGGGCCAGAAGGUUGAUAAGGUGCAGAAUACCCAGUUGCCUGAGAAGGCAGCUGGGUUAUCCUGUAAAGCUGUGUUGGACCAACAUUAGAUGGAGUACUAGAGGGAAGUAGGGGGCUUGUUGCUUGAGCCUGCACCAAGUGAUUGACAUCUUUAAUGAUUACACAUAUAAUGCGAGUAAGCAAUCAAAACAAGAUGUCAGACCCACCUGAUAAGGAUUCCAGCCUGGAAAGGGGACCAUGGCAGGGGACACUACCACAGGCCCAUAAGGGCCCUGGACUAAUGAGCCAGGCAGCAACGGAGGCCUUGCAACCAGUACACUAUAUUGCUGUUGCGAAGGACCAGAUGGAGGCUGCACGGUUGGAUAUAAUGGAGAAGGUACCUGUACAGGUAGAGGUGAAACCGGGGGAACUGGUGAUGGUGCGGGAAUUUGGACACCUGCAGGUCUUCUUCUUUUUUUUUUUUUUUUCAAUUUUUGUAUAUCAUUUUUAUCACAUAUUGCCAAAAUUUUCAGCAGAGAACAUCAUCCAUAACCCAAUAUGAGGCAACAAAGAACAAAGGCGUUGAAAUGUAAUGCUUACCGGGCGCAAAGGAAGACCCACAGGACUAAGGGCCACAUUCCCCUUCGGUGCAUUAAGGUCUGAUGGAUGAUGAUAUCUACAUGAUGGACCAAAUUUACAUUCCCCUGUUUUCAUGUAAUACUGACAUUCUGGUUGAUCAGGCCUUUCAGGAUAUGGGUUCUCCUUCUGAGUACUACUACCUGAAGGAUCAACAGAGGGGCCA
rnacentral:lncRNA from 1 species